rnacentral:rRNA from 1 species
CCUACGGGGGGCAGCAGUGAGGAAUAUUGGUCAAUGGACGAGAGUCUGAACCAGCCAAGUAGCGUGAAGGAUGACUGCCCUAUGGGUUGUAAACUUCUUUUAUAUGGGAAUAAAAUGUUCCACGUGUGGGAUUUUGUAUGUACCAUAUGAAUAAGGAUCGGCUAACUCCGUGCCAGCAGCCGCGGUAAUACGGAGGAUCCGAGCGUUAUCCGGAUUUAUUGGGUUUAAAGGGAGCGUAGGUGGAUUGUUAAGUCAGUUGUGAAAGUUUGCGGCUCAACCGUAAAAUUGCAGUUGAAACUGGCAGUCUUGAGUACAGUAUAGGUGGGCGGAAUUCGUGGUGUAGCGGUGAAAUGCUUAGAUAUCACGAAGAACUCCGAUUGCGAAGGCAGUUCACUGGACUGCAACUGACACUGAGGCUCGAAAGUGUGGGUAUCAAACAGGAUUAGAUACCCGAGUAGUC